rnacentral:rRNA from 1 species
UACGUAGGGCGCAAGCGUUGUCCGGAUUUAUUGGGCGUAAAGAGCUCGUAGGCGGUUUGUCGCGUCGAUUGUGAAAACCUGCAGCUUAACUGUGGGCGUGCAGCCGAUACGGGCAGACUAGAGGCAUGCAGGGGAGAAUGGAAUUCCUGGUGUAGCGGUGAAAUGCGCAGAUAUCAGGAGGAACACCGGUGGCGAAGGCGGUUCUCUGGGCAUGUCCUGACGCUGAGGAGCGAAAGCGUGGGGAGCGAACAGG